GAGGAUGUAGCUUAGGUGGUAGAGCGCUCGCUUAGCAUGCGAGAGGUACUGAGAUCAAUAUUCAGCAUCUCCG
rnacentral:tRNA from 1 species